rnacentral:sRNA from 1 species
CUUAUUGGGCUCCUGUCUGCAGGAUUUACGCGCACGUUGGAACCGAAGAGAGCUCUGUUGUUGCACCCACAAGACCUUACUGGUGAAGGAAUGGGACAAGACCCAUCUUUAUGCAAAGCCAGCGUUACAGUAAUGUCCCAGGUAGGUGUACAUGGUUUAUGCUCUUACAGAGGAGACCUUGUAGAUAACCACUCCAUGAUGAACACAAAAUGACAAGCAUAUGGCUGAACUUUCAAGUGAUGUCAUCUUACUACUGAGAAGUGAGAGAGAGGUCUUAAGGGGUCUUUGAAUGACUAUUUUUAGGUACAUAAAAUGCUUUCCUCUGUUGUCUACAGCAUCUCAUAAUCUAUCCUGGGGAAUUCAGCUGCCUCCCAGGGUGAAUACAGGUAAUUAUCCAAAUUGGUGUAUGUCAUCUUUGUAAAUGUUCACAAGAAAACAAGUGGCCGGCGGAAGCAAUGUUUUUUGGCGCCUUCCAUCUUGUUCCUCUUGAAAUGAUUUUCUGGGGAGGGAGAUCGCAACCCGGUACUACAGUUCUUGUAAGGGUGUGCUGUUACCCUCAUCCAUAUAUCGAUCACGUUACUGUCAGAUGAUUUGAAU